GAAAUGCGAUAAGUAGUGUGAAUUGCAGAAUUCAGUGAAUCAUCGAAUCUUUGAACGCACAUUGCGCCCUUUGGUAUUCCAAAGGGCAUGCCUGUUCGAGCGUCAUUUGUACCCUCAAGCUUUGCUUGGUGUUGGGCGUCUUGUCUCUAGCUUUGCUGGAGACUCGCCUUAAAGUAAUUGGCAGCCGGCCUACUGGUUUCGGAGCGCAGCACAAGUCGUACUCUCUAUCAGCAAAGGUCUAGCAUCCAUUAAGCCUUUUUUCAACUUUUGACCUCGGAUCAGGUAGGGAUACCCGCUGAACUUAAGC
rnacentral:misc_RNA from 1 species